AGAAGAUGAUAAUGUAGAGCAAGAAGAAGAUGUUGACACUGAUAAUAUUCAGAGUGAUGUUGUGGAUGAGCCAAAUGAUGAUGAGAGAUUGGACUCUGGUUUUGUUGACGAGGUAUUAGUUGGCGAUAAUUCUUCUUACGACUAUUACGGUGAUUCAGACUUGGAGACUAUA